AAUUACAUCAACAAUCACCUAACUUUUAUUCCAAUAACAAAAUAAUCACUCAACUUCAACUUUAUGAAAGUAACAAAUCGGUGACUAACGGACAUUUUCAGUUACAAUGUAAUGAAAAGUUGAGAUGGCCCAUUAACUAACCACGUUAACUAGCCGAUUGUUGAUUUGAGUUUUCUCUUUCAUUUUCUCGGCAUCCAAAUAAUGGAGAUUGGAGAGUUUAGCCCUUUGGGCCGUGGCUUCCUCUGACUUCUCUUCGACCUCUUCUUUUUUACCUAAUCUCUUCUCUCAUCUCCUUCUCAUUUUUGACGGCCAGCUUUUUCUGUUUCCUGCGAUCCGUUCCAACCCUAAACCCUCGGCCAACCAAAAGUUGUGCCUUGUGAGGGAGUUUGGUGUGAUGCGGAUAACGACGGUUCUUGGAUUGCUUGCUAUAGCAAAUUCUUGUAUUGGGAUGCACCAAGUUAGUAACACAAAUGCAGGAAAAGAUUUUGAUUUUUGGAAAAGGAUUUCGGAGGAGGGCUUAGCAUAAUGAGAAUCAAAUGUAUUGUUGGUAGUGUCGUUAGAACGGCAGAGGUCUUCAAAGCAACGCUUCUAUAUGGCUUGUUGUUCUUCAAGGCAUUGGAGCCUAAGUUGUUCUUCUCCACUUCUUCUGCAAUUGAUAUGAACAUGUUAGUGGGACAAAUUACAGAAAGAAAAAUGCAAAACCCUAGAAAUAAAGAGAACGAGGGGGAACGAGGAGAGACCAACUUUGAGACUUAACCUUAGCCUCGUUGAGGCGUUCACUAAAUUCGUCGAGCUUCUCAAUUUGCUUGGAUUCCUCGGAAGUGUCAAUCAUCUGGUGGAUUUAAAGAUGGAGAUAACUCAAAAGAUUGAAAAUUCAAUAAUAUUAACAUAACAAAAAAUUGAAAGGGAAAAAAAACAACACAUUUUAUUAAGUUUUCCUAGUAUUUUAUGCUCUGUUUGGUUACUGAGAAACUGAGAGGGAAAAUAUAGUGGUAUUAGAAGAGUGUAAAAAGUGAGAGAAUACUAGAAGAAAACUACGUACGAGGGCAUUUUUUAUUAUUAUUUUAAAAUUGAUUAAAGAUAGGAACCAACAAAUCCAACAUGGGAAGUAUGUGAAUAUGUCUGACGUGGCUAGCUAAUAAGCCAUGUUACCUG
rnacentral:lncRNA from 1 species